CCCUUAGAUGUUCUGGGCCGCACGCGUGCUACACUGAGUAAUUCAAUGGGUAAGGGAACGCUAGAGCAUUACCUAAUCUUGAAAUUUGCUCGUGAUGGGGAUCGACGGUUGCAAUUUUCCGUCGUGAACGAGGAAUACCUUGUAGGCGCAUGUCAUCAUCAUGCGCCGAAUACGUCCCUGCCCUUUGUACACACCGCCCGUCGCUCCUAUCGAUUGAGUGAUCCGGUGAGGCUCUGGGACCUGGACGGAAAGAGCGUUUCGCUUGUUCUGUUUGGGAAACUUGGUCGAACCUUAUCAUUUAGAGGAAGGAGAAGUCGUAACA
rnacentral:rRNA from 1 species